AAAAAAAAAAAUCCAGCUGGUCGAUUCUGCAGGCUGAGCUCUGCAAGAAGGUGAGGCUUUUUGGGGCUGGGGCUGCAUGCAGGCUGUGGGAUGCAGAUGUGAGGAGGGCCCCCUACCCCCUGUCUGUUUUGGUUGUGAUGCUGCAGGGUGCUCUGGAUGUGCCCUGGGAUUGCAAAGCACUGAAUGUCAGGUCCUGCACACAGCACGGCCGCUCGGUGUUCAGACUGUAUGAGCUGCUCGAAGCAAGAUAGAAAGCAGGUGUAAGAAACCUCUGGAAAGUUUGUUGUUAAUUACUGCGAUUUCCUCUCCUCAACAAAGACUCAACAGCUGAAUGGAUCUUUUUAGUUAUGUAAAUGCAUUUUCCAUAAAUACUUAUUUUGUGGAAGAAACAAAAAAAUAUCUAUCUGUGGGAGGUGGUGUGUCUUACUGCUGGUUGAUGGAAGCCCACUUGUGUCCAGGCUGCUGGUGACACAGGUCAGCUGUGAGCAGGGCCACCAGAGAUGACAUUCCAUAAUCCUAACAUCCCCAUCUAACGGUAGAUGAGGCUGGAAGGACUGGGCUGGAGCUGGUGGAUGCCUGGUGGGUUCAGAAGAUGACACCACCUGCAAUUGGCAAUGUGUUCUUUGGGGAUACCUAAGGGAAGUGCUGCUUUUAUAAGAUGUCUUUAAAAUCUUUGGAGAAAACAAAGUAGUGAAGAUUGUUUUGUUCCAUAUCUCUUGCUAGCUGUCCAGAAUAACCUUUAUUGGAUGAAGCUAAUUAUGUCUAGUAAUAUUUUUUCCUUUAAUUCUUUUGCAGUCAAACUUCAGAACACUUUUUCCCAGUGUGUUCAAGCAGUGAAGGUUCAGCAAACUCUGGAUUGUUUACCUGCAUGCAUUCAGGCUGAUGACUGUCCCACUUCCAGACGGAUGCUGCCAUACAUGCAUGAUGACACAGAAAGCCUAGAGGAUAGUCUUACUGCACAGCUGACAGAUGGCAAGCGCACAGUCCAAGGGACGCUUUACAUCUACAUCAUGCCAGUCAACAAUGAAAUCCCUCAUCUUUCCAGAAAAUGUCUCCAGAUCUGA
rnacentral:lncRNA from 1 species